rnacentral:rRNA from 1 species
GGUUGGGUGCUUGCACCGACUUAACGUUAGCGGCGGACGGGUGAGUAACACGUGGGCAACCUGCCCUGUAGUCUGGGAUAACUCCGGGAAACCGGGGCUAAUACCGGAUGAUACUUUCUAUCUCAUGUUAGAAAGUUGAAAGAUGGUUUACGCUAUCGCUACAGGAUGGGCCCGCGGCGCAUUAGCUAGUUGGGGAGGUAACGGCUCACCAAGGCAACGAUGCGUAGCCAACCUGAAAGGGUGAUCGGCCACACUGGGACUGAAACACGGCCCAAACUCCUACGGGAGGCAGCAGUAGGGAAUCUUCCACAAUGGACGAAAGUCUGAUGGAGCAACGCCGCGUGAGUGAAAAAGGAUUUCGGUUCGUAAAACUCUGUUGUAAGGGAAAAACAAGUACAGUAGUAACUGGCUGUACCUUGACGGUACCUUAUUAAAAAGCCACGGCUAACUACGUGCCAGCAGCCGCGGUAAUACGUAGGUGGCAAGCGUUGUCCGGAAUUAUUGGGCGUAAAGCGCGCGCAGGCGGUCCUUUAAGUCUGAUGUGAAAGCCCACGGCUCAACCGUGGAGGGUCAUUGGAAACUGGGGGACUUGAGUGCAGAAGAGGAAAGUGGAAUUCCAAGUGUAGCGGUGAAAUGCGUAGAGAUUUGGA